GGGACAAAGGAGGCGUCGGGGGGCGGCGACGGCUUUGCGGGGGAGCGGGUGUCUCCCCCUGCACGAUGCGUGCCCCCCAUCGCGGCCCACAGUUCCGCACCCCAGACCGGCCUCAGGGCUCCUCGGGCUCUGGUGUCCAGCCUGGGUUCCAGCCUCGCUGAGCCGCCCCCGCGCAACGCCUUCCUGUGAGGCGCGCUCGCCAGGCGCUGACCAUGUCUAUCAUGGACCACAGCCCCACCACUGGGGUGGUCACGGUCAUUGUCAUCCUCAUCGCCAUCGCGGCCCUGGGGGCGCUCAUCCUGGGCUGCUGGUGCUACCUGCGGCUGCAGCGCAUCAGCCAAUCGGAGGACGAGGAGAGCAUCGUCGGGGAUGGCGAGACCAAGGAGCCCUUCCUGCUGGUGCAGUACUCGGCCAAGGGGCCGUGCGUGGAGAGGAAGGCCAAGCUGACCCCCACCGGCCCGGAAGUCCAUGGCUGAGCCUCGACGCGGAGGCUCCCGGGCCCGUUCGCAGCCAGCCGAGAGGCAUGGAGGGGCGAGACCACAGACACGCUGCCGUCUGAGAGGAAGGGUUGACACUUGCUGGCAUGGCCUUGCCGGGCUUCGUCAUCGCAUGCACUGACUCCCAGGGUCCCGGCUGUCCCGAGCCAGGGCUUGGUGGCCGUGGGCGACCCCUUGGCCUCCUGGUAGGGCUGCCCAUUGCAGGCAGUGGGCAAGCCUGACCUUGCUGGGGCUCAUGGCCCUGCAGCGCUUUUGUUACUUGAAUGUUGAGCUGAGCCUGUUUUCGAUGGAGCUACUACUGUAUAACGCGUCAACUCACAAGCCUGUGAACUGUAAAUAGGCCCCAGAAGCACGUGCUUAAGCCUCUUUUGCUGAUUUUUAAAAAUAGCGUAUAGAGCACAUGGGACUGGCCAUACCGACGUUGAGCUGAGUCGGGGCUCUAGGGGAGGGUCUUAGACGUGUAAGGCCCACGUUGCACUUGGCCGGGGCCUCUAAUAUACGUGUGUGUGUGUGUGUGUGUGUGUGUGUGUUUGUAGCGGACGUGACAUGUUGGUUUUAGGUCUCGCAGCUGACCUGUUGGGGUGGUUGGUGAGCAGGGGAUGGGGCAGCGGCACACCCCUCCCCCUUUUGGUAGGUUAGGUCGUUCAGUGCCAGUUCCUGUUGCUCGUGGAGUCAUUGCAAGGAAGCUACUGCAGCUGCUUGGGAGCCGGUGAAGGACGAGUCAGGGUAUGAGUCCUGAGGCUGCCAGGUGUCCUGGUGGCAGAGCAGUUUCUGGCCCCCGCAGUCCUGAGCAUGCUAAACACCCCACCCCCACCCACUGUCCCCAGCCAGCUUUCUGUGUACGUGGCGCGCAGGCUUCGCUAGAAGACACCAGACCCGCCGUGGCUGUCUGUAUCCAAAACCCAGCUGGCCCAGCACAGAGAAAAUUGUGGCUUUUGUUUGUUGUAUUUAGUAUUUUCUGCACUGGAGGGGAGUGGGGGGAGGGGGCUCGGUUCCUUCCCCCUGCCCUUUUCUCAGAUUCUUCCCCACCUGCUGGGGACUGGGUUCAGUUUCCUCACCCAGGAGGGUCCCCUGACCCUGUUGUCAGAGCGCCAAGUGCGGGGGACAGUCAUUUCUCAUGUGCACGUGGACACAGGAGCCCCCAGCAGCCAGUGGCACUGUGGGUGCCCAGAGGAGGGGGCUGCAGAGAGUUUCAGGUUGGCAAAGGCGAGGAAUUGGGGGCUCUCGGGCCAGUGACCCCGAGCCCGCAUCUCUAUCCUUGUGUCUGCUUGGGUGAACUCACUUAGUUCUUAAUCCCACCACUGACAGCACAUGCUACCCUAUUGUGAUUAAAAUGUGGUUUGUGUCCACAUCCCUGGGAGUCAGCUGGAGGCCAGCCCUGGCUGGGCCCGAAGGCUGACUCUGGCCUGCCAGCAGUGCAGGCAGGAAUCUCCCAGGUGGCCUGGGGCUGCCCCCCAACCCUACCCCUUACCCUCACCCCCGAAGCUCUGGCCUUCUGGUCAGACUGAAGGCAGCUCGUCUGG
rnacentral:lncRNA from 1 species